rnacentral:lncRNA from 1 species
CAGCAUUCAGAACUGGUAUCAGGUAGACCCCAUUGGUUUCCCUUUGCCCAUCUGAGGUGGUAUCUCAGGAGGUUUUGCAAGACCCUAGAGAAAGAGACAUGAUAAAUAGUAUUUUAAAUGACAAUUUGGAUGGUGCCAAGUAGUUCAAACCACCAUCACAAUAGAAAACCCUUCUUUGAUAAAACAUGUUAGAGGAACGCAUAGAACUUUAAAAUCAAAGCAUUGAAGAAAACUUAGAACUUGUGCCCAAGUAAUCACACCUCCCAAGAAUCCCAUUUAAAUUAUUUCUGAUAGACAAGUAAUCCAGUUUUGGGGGUGAAGAGCUGUCUUCGCAUACAUUCUCUAGUUAAAGCUCUCAUUUUUAAUUCAUCCAUUUUAAAAGGAUGCUGUUCUGGUUUCUCUGAUCAUCAAUUUUAUGCAUAUCUCCUAAAACACACAUCAUUGACCUUACCAUUAAGAAGAAAAAAAAGCAGCUCAGACGUCUGGUACAAAUGGUCUGGUACCAUUUGUUAUGUCUUGGUGUUGCUGGAUGCUGAUCUGGCAUUCACAACUACAUCUUAAUGUUCUCCUCUCGGACAUAUACAACUUCAUAGAACAUGAAUAAUCAGAUAAGGCUAUUCUGGACCCUGAUGGAUCAAGACAAAAGUCAAGACUACUUGGCAAUCUUGUCUCAAUACAUAGAAAAACACUAGCCUUGUGCAAACCACAAAAAUGACCAAACACCCCAUAUCCUGGCUAACACAUGUGAGUACUGCUUCUUUAUCUGUUAUAGCUUAAUCCUUACUCUAAUUUUCUUUUCCUCUAGAUUAUAUUUAUAAAAAUACUCCAUUUUACCCCUACUUCCCAACAUUCAAUCCAGAGAAAAGCCCAACUCCCUCCCCUAAUUUCCCUAGGCCAAACUCAAAUCCUUUUAAGUUCUAAUAUUCCCUUAUUGAAAUACCUCAUAGUCACUCACUGCAAAGAGCAAUAAACCAACAUUAUGUUCCUGGUGGUCUUUGGCUGAGAUUAAGGUUAAUGUUGUCAACUCCUAAAAUUUCACCACAUCUCCCCUGGCAUAACAUCCUGUCUGGAUAUUUAUCAUGAUUUGGAAGUCCUGCCCUGAUUUCAUUCCAAACUUUACAUCAAACCUCAUUGCCAUGACUAUUUCUCAUGUAACAUUUAUAAAGACCUGCUCAGAACUAAAUUACGUGUAUGUCUAAACUGUGUCCAUUAGUCCUAAAAACAAUCGUGAAAGAGAAUAUAGCGUCAUUUUUAUUUUUCCCUUAGGGAACUGAAUUGCAGAGAGGUGAACUCUCUCUUGCAGGUUCAUGCAGAGAAUAAAUGAAAGAAGCAGGAUUUGUACCAAAGUUUGUGUACAAGCCCUAUUAUGCAAAUAGCAGACUACCUGAUAUUAUUUCACGGUGAUCCAUACUUUCUAGCUCCCAUGAUCCUGCUGCUGCUGUGGAUGUGUUUCACGCAUUGCUAUUUAUUGUCCUUCAGAGUCUAGGUCAAAAUGCUGACUUUUCCGUGAUAUCUUCUCUGAAGCAUUCAUUCACUUGCUCAUUUACUUAAUCGAAAUUUGUUAGGCCUUACCUAUAUUUACACUAGAGUAAAACUUCAUGAAAGUAGGGCUAUACUUUUCCAGUGAAAUUAGUAAGAUGAAGGGCAAGUUUGGGGGAGGAAGCGUGUCAUGAUGAAGACCAUCUCAAAAAAAUAGUUAAGUACUAUUCGUCUAGAGGUUGUAAUUAUUACUAUGGCUAAUCACUUCUGUACAUUUUGUAUAUUUAAUCCUUCUCCAGAUCUAUACCACUUGCCCAGGAACAUAUUUAUUAUUCAUAGGUUUCCUUACAAAUAACAGAUGAAUGUUGGCAUUUGUAGCUGAAGGUUCUAGUAGCCUACUCCAUGCUUGGCCAGCCACUAACAGUGCUCCUGGCUGAGUCAGUCUCACACAGGUUGUGCUGGCUGUACCAUGACCCUCUGCUUCAUCCCUCACCAAGCCAACUGGCCGUGCCCAUCAGCUUCUGUCAUAGAGUCCCUUUCCACUGGUACAUAGUCCUUUGGGUGGCCCCCUUGUUCCCAAAUAGGUGUUCAUCCCAAGAGGAACCCUGCAGUGGCUCAGGGAGGCAAAUUAAACCUCCAUGCUUCCCACGGCCUCCCCCUUGCUCCAGGUGUAUGUGGCAUGGCCUGGGGGGGGAUGGUAACUAUCAGGGUUCUAAAUGGAAAAUGAGGAGAAAGUGCAUCCUUCAUCCCCAGUAUGGUACCCAAUUCAAUAAGGCAAGUUAAGUGCAGACAGCCCUCCCAUGGCCACCCCUGCCUACAUACACAUGUGAAGCAAGGUUAUCAUUGCAUGUAAGGAAUAUGACAACCCAGGAGACCAAGGACUGGAAGGAGAAGAGAACUCAACUGAGGAACAUACAUUUUCUCCACUGCCCUGAGAUCAAAUAACCUAUACCCCCAGACAUUGGGCCAUUUUAGAGGGCAUUUUAUUCCAUACAACCUUCUUACUGACUAUUAAACUAAAGCGGUCAGAAGAGAACUUCCAUAGACUUUCAAAAUGAAAUCUACCCCACUCACUAGCAUCUAUACCCUGAUAAGGUGUGUUCACUUCAGGCAAUACAUAUGAACUCUUUGUAAAGACAGCCUCUCUAUGUGUUUAUGAGAUCCUGCUCAUCUUCUCCAGGACCAUCAUUCCCUCAUUCCCUCUCAUUUCUUCUCUGCUUCCUACUUUUCAGCAUUUUUUUUCUUUUAUUGCAUAUCUGCACAAAUGCAAAUCUUUUAUUUUGCAUUUUAUUAUACAAGGGCAUACAUAUUAAAUGCAUUUUUUGGAAAAUCUUUUUGUUCCUUAAGAAUAUUUUAACAUCUGGGAUGACAUUUAUAUUUUUCUUUCUUUCUUUCUUUCUUUUUUUUUUUAUUAAAGUAUAGUUGAUUUACAGAGUUCCUGUUGUGGUGCAGUGGACACGAAUCCAACUAGCAACCAUGAGGUUGCGGAUUCAAUCCCUGGCCUCGCUCAGUGGGUUAAGGAUCUGGCAUUGCUGUGGCUGUGGCGUAGGCUGGCAAUUAGACCCCUAGCCUGGAAGCCUCCAUAUGCCGCGGGCACAGCCCAAAAAAACAAAAUGAAUAAAUAAAUAAAUAGUCUAGUUGAUUUACGAGCAUUUU